rnacentral:rRNA from 1 species
GAUGAACGCUGGCGGCGUGCCUAAUACAUGCAAGUCGAGCGAACAGACGAGGAGCUUGCUCCUUCGACGUUAGCGGCGGACGGGUGAGUAACACGUAGGUAACCUACCUAUAAGACUGGGAUAACUUCGGGAAACCGGAGCUAAUACCGGAUAAUAUUUCGAACCGCAUGGUUCGAUAGUGAAAGAUGGCUUUGCUAUCACUUAUAGAUGGACCUGCGCCGUAUUAGCUAGUUGUUAAGGUAACGGCUUACCAAGGCAGCGAUACGUAGCCGACCUGAGAGGGUGAUCGGCCACACUGGAACUGAGACACGGUCCAGACUCCUACGGGAGGCAGCAGUAGGGAAUCUUCCGCAAUGGGCGAAAGCCUGACGGAGCAACGCCGCGUGAGUGAUGAAGGUCUUCGGAUCGUAAAACUCUGUUAUUAGGGAAGAACAAACGUGUAAGUAACUGUGCACGUCUUGACGGUACCUAAUCAGAAAGCCACGGCUAACUACGU